rnacentral:tRNA from 1 species
GGUGGCUCAGAGGUAGAGUGCUUGCCUUGCAUGCAAGAGGCCCUGGGUUCAAUUCCUCAGCACCA